rnacentral:rRNA from 1 species
UACGUAGGUGGCAAGCGUUGUCCGGAAUUAUUGGGCGUAAAGCGCGCGCAGGCGGUCCUUUAAGUCUGAUGUGAAAGCCCACGGCUCAACCGUGGAGGGUCAUUGGAAACUGGGGGACUUGAGUACAGAAGAGAAGAGUGGAAUUCCACGUGUAGCGGUGAAAUGCGUAGAGAUGUGGAGGAACACCAGUGGCGAAGGCGACUCUUUGGUCUGUAACUGACGCUGAGGCGCGAAGGCGUGGUGAGCGAACGUG